rnacentral:rRNA from 1 species
UACAGAGGGUGCGAGCGUUGUUCGGAAUUAUUGGGCGUAAAGGGCGCGUAGGCGGCGCCACAAGUCACUUGUGAAAACUCUGGGCUCAACUCAGAGCCUGCAAGCGAAACUGUGGUGCUGGAGUAUGGGAGAGGUGCGUGGAAUUCCCGGUGUAGCGGUGAAAUGCGCAGAUAUCAGGAGGAACACCGGUGGCGAAGGCGGGUCUCUGGGCCGAAAUUGACGCUGAGGAGCGAAAGCGUGGGGAGCAAACGGG